rnacentral:rRNA from 1 species
UACGUAGGUGGCAAGCGUUAUCCGGAUUUACUGGGUGUAAAGGGAGCGCAGGCGGUUCUGCAAGUCUGAUGUGAAAGCCCGGGGCUCAACCGCGGGACUGCAUUGGAAACUGCGGGACUGGAGUGUCGGAGGGGUAAGCGGAAUUCCUGGUGUAGCGGUGAAAUGCGUAGAUAUCAGGAGGAACACCGGUGGCGAAGGCGGCUUACUGGACGAUGACUGACGCUGAGGCUCAAAAGCGUGGGGAGCAAACAGG